ensembl:lncRNA
AGAAACAUACACUUGCUGUGAGAGCCGGACCAGCCUCUGUGGGUGUGGGCAAGGCGUGAUGGGGUGCAGCAGAGGUUGGGGGAGAGGCAGCACCCACAGGGUCAUCAGGAGGUGUGAGGGGACAAGAAAAGGCGGGGAUCCAAUGGGAGUGGCCCAGAGUGUUGUCCAGAACACACAGACAAGGCUGAGAAGUGUGCCCCGUGGGUCAUGAGGUGGCUGCAGAGCUGUCACUCACCUGCAGAGCUGGGAAGAGAUGUGACGAGAGAGGAGAUGGACUGGCUCUCAGUGGACACAGACCUGGUGGUGGGGAGGGAGGAGCUUCCGUGUGCAGUGAUGGAGCUGGCUAGGAACACAGUAGUCUGCAGCCUGGUGGUACUCGGCUGUCUGGUGGUGAGGUUGGUGGCUGGAGAACUUGGGACGGCUGUCACCCCCAGUGUAGAAGACAGGAGGCCGUGGGUGGGGGUUUGGGUGGUGAGAGAGGUGGACUGGGCGGUGGUGGACUGAGAGGAUGGGACAGAGGAAGUGGGACUGCUGACCGUGGUCCGGGGUGUAGACAGGAUGACCGUACUAACAGUGGGGGCAGGGGACAGGGUGGGAGCUGAUGGAGGUGACAGGGAGGCCCUGAUGGGUGUGGAGGCGGCUGGGGAAGGGGGGCUGGUUGGCAGGGACGCUGUUUGUGACAUGGUCAGAGGUGCAGAGGGCGAGGGACUGUGUGGAGCUGAGCUGACGCUUGGGAUGCUGUGUGAAGUGGAGACUGCAGAAGGGGAAGGGGAAGACGAUAUCAAAGGAGAGGUGUUCGAGGACCCGUGAGGAGGAGGAGAGGAAACAGUGGGCAAGGAGGAGGGGAUUGGGACAGUGGAAGAAGAGGGGUAAUGGGGAAGAGUCGACACAGAAACAGAAGUGGUUAAAGGACUUUGGCUUGGGUUCAGAGAAGCUGGAGAAGACAAUGGAGAGCUGAAGCUAGAGCUUUGUAGUGGUGCUGUGCUGACUGAGCUCUGGGUUUGUGUGGUCCCUGUUGUGGUCUUUGUGAGUGGCAGGGUUGUGGGUGUGGUGCUCCCUAUUGUUGUUGUCAGCAGUGGGGAUAUGGAUGUGGGUGCCAUGGAUGUGACCGGGACGUGUGUCAAUGGCGUUGGGGUGCCAGUAGGCUUUGUGGUGGAGUAGGUAGCAUGGGACUCAGUUGGGGUGAUGACUUGGUGAGAGGUUGAAGUCACAGAUGUUGACACAUGGAUGGGAAGGGUCUCUGGAUGUGAUGGGGUGGAAUGGGUGGUGGUGGUCCGGAAGGAUGUUCCUGUUGGCAGAACUGUUGUGUGAGAGGUGGUGUGGACAGAAAAGGUGGCACUGGAGUGAGUGGUGAAUGGAGUGUGUGGCCCAGUGGGGGCAGCUGUUGUGUGUGUCACGGGUGUUCCAGUGCCUCUACUGGUAGAUGGAAGGGAGAUAGUACUGAGCAGUGGAGAAGUGCUUACAGGGAGGAUGGUUGAAGUAGAAUGUGAUAUUGGGGCUGUGGAGGUUGUUAUUGUGCUGACCAAGUUUUGGGCUUGAGUGGUCCCUGUUGUGGUCUUUGUCAGUGGUGGGACUGUAGGUGCAGUGGUCUUUGUCAGUGGUGUGGCUGUGGAUGUAGUGGUCUCUGUGGUGGUCUUUGUCAGUGGUGUGGCUAUAGGUGUGGUGGACCCUAUGGUGGUCUUUGUCAGUGGUGUGGCUGUGGUGGUUUCUGUUGUGGUCUUUGUCAGUGGUGUGGCUGUGGUGGUCUCUGCGGUGGUCUUUGUCAGUGGUGUGGCUGUGGUGGUCUCUGCGGUGGUCUUUGUCAGUGGUGUGGCUGUGGUGGUCUCUGUGGUGGUCUUUGUCAGUGGUGUGGCUGUGGGUGUGGUGGUCUCUAUCAGUGGUGUGGCUGUGGGUGUGGUGGUCUCUAUCAGUGGUGUGGCUGUGGGUGUGGUGGUCUCUGUCAGUGGUGUGGCUGUGGUGGUCUCUGUGGUGGUCUUUGUCAGUGGUGUGACUGUGGGUGUGGUGGUCUCUGUCAGUGGUGUGGCUCUGGGUGUGGUGGUUUCUGCUGUGGUGGUUGUCAGUGGUGUGCCUGUGGGUGUGAUGGUCUUUGUCAGUGGUGUGGCUGUAGUGGUGUCUGUGGUGUGGUGGGGCUGUGGUGGGUUCUGUGGUAGUCUUUGUCAGUGGUGUGGCUGUGGGUGUAGUGGUUUCUGUGGUGGUCUCUGUCAGUGGUGUGACUGUGGGUGUAGUGGUUUUUGUGCUGGUCUCUGUCAGUGGAGUGGCUGUGGAUGUGGUAGUUUUUCUGGUUGUCUUUGUCAGUGGUGUGCCUGUGGGUGUGGUGGUCUCUGUCAGUGGUGUGGCUGUGGAUGUGGUAGUUUUUCUGGUUGUCUUUGUCAGUGGUGUGGCUGUGGGUGUGGUGGUCUCUGUCAGUGGUGUGGCUGUGGGUGUGGUAGUCUCUGUCAGUGGAGUGGCUGUGGAUGUGGUAGUUUUUCUGGUUGUCUUUUGGAGUGGCUGUGGAUGUGGUAGUUUUUCUGGUUGUCUUUGUCAGUGGUGUGGCUGUGGGUGUGGUGGUCUCUGUCAGUGGUGUGGCUGUGGGUGUGGUAGUCUCUGUCAGUGGAGUGGCUG